rnacentral:tRNA from 1 species
GCGGGUAUCGUAUAGUGGCUAUUAUAACAGGCUUCCAACCUGUGGACAGGGGUUCGAUCCCCCUUACCCGCU